UACGAAGGGGGCUAGCGUUGUUCGGAAUCACUGGGCGUAAAGCGCGCGUAGGCGGCUUUGCAAGUCGGGUGUGAAAUCCCCAGGCUUAACCUGGGAACUGCAUUCGAGACUGCAUUGCUAGAGUAUGGGAGAGGGAAGUGGAAUUUCCGGUGUAGCGGUGAAAUGCGUAGAUAUCGGAAGGAACAUCAGUGGCGAAAGCGACUUCCUGGACCAAUACUGACGCUCAUGUGCGAAAGCGUGGGGAGCAAACAGG
rnacentral:rRNA from 1 species